GAUGAACGCUGGCGGCGUGCCUAAUACAUGCAAGUCGAGCGAACAGAUGAGUUGCUUGCUCCUCUGACGUUAGCGGCGGACGGGUGAGUAACACGUGGAUAACCUCCCUAUAAGACUGGGAUAACUUCUGGAAACCGGAGCUAAUACCGGAUAAUAUAAUCAACCGCAUGGUUCAAUAGUGAAAGACGGUUUUGCUGUCACUUAUAGAUGGAUCCGCGCCGCAUUAGCUAGUUGGUAAGGUAACGGCUUACCAAGGCAACGAUGCAUAGCCGACCAGAGAGAGUGAUAGGACACACUGGGACUGGAACAAGGUCCAGACUCGGACGGGAGGAAGGAGUAGGGAAUCAUCCGAAAUGGGAGAAAGCAUGACGGAGCAACGCCGGAAGGGUGAUGAAGGUAAUCGGAUCGUAAAACUCUGUUAUUAGGGAAGAACAAAUGUGUAAGUAACUAAGCAAGUCUUGACGGUACCUGAUCAGAAAGCCACGGCUAACUACGUG
rnacentral:rRNA from 1 species